rnacentral:rRNA from 1 species
AUACGGAGGGUGCAAGCGUUGUUCGGAAUUAUUGGGCGUAAAGCGCGUGUAGGCGGUCUGUUAAGUCUGGUGUGAAAGCCCUGGGCUCAACCCAGGAAGUGCAUUGGAUACUGGCAGACUUGAGUAUGGGAGAGGAAAGUGGAAUUCCGAGUGUAGGGGUGAAAUCCGUAGAUAUUCGGAGGAACACCAGUGGCGAAGGCGGCUUUCUGGACCAAUACUGACGCUGAGACGCGAAAGCGUGGGGAGCAAACAGGAUUAGAAACCCCAGUAGUCC